CAAAAUAUUUUAACAAUAACAGGUCAAAAUCCAGGAAUAAUUUAACAACAAAUGGGCAAUUAUCUUGUCAAUUGAAGCGACAAUACCUUUGUGUUGCAUAAAUGACCUAAAUUAAUUAAAAUUUAGAUAACGAAAUCGUAAUAUUCAUUGUAAACAUAUGGUAUGUCUUUUAAAGUUUAUUAUUUGGUGAUCAUGAUCAACAAAUUAUUUAUGGAAUUUUUUUCCAUUUUGCAGACUGAGUGAGUACAUUGUCAGAGCUCUGAGAGAGCCAGUUCUCAAAAGCCUUGCAAAAGCCGACAUCUCGUCAGUCAUGUUUGAUGGUGCAACUGAUGCUUGUAUAUAUGGAGCAUGGCCAUCCUCAAGAUGUUCUGAAAUAGUUGGCCGACAUUGAGCAUCGUGCUGAUGCAGAUGGUGUUUUCAGAUGCAAAGGUAACGACUGGAUAACGAAGGUGGUCGGUACAGGCUGUGACGGACCAUCGGUCAGCCUGGGUUGGAACAAAAGUGUCUCAUCACGUUUCACAGACAAUGAGAGGGAUUAUGUGGUCCCCGUCCAUUGUGUAGCACAUCGUCUUGAACUGGCGGUCUUGGCGGGGAUCCAAGAGAAUAACCAUCUGGUCACCAUCACUGACAUUCUCAAAAAGAUACACAAAAUUAUCCUUACAGUCCAAAACCUCAAAGAGAGUUGAGGGCUGGGGCUCAGACCAUGGACGAGCACAUAGUUUAAACCAAACAGGCUCCAGGGAACUAAAUAGCUGCCCCAUAUUUGCAAAGCUUCAAAUGCUCUCAUUGGAAGCUAUACGGUAAUUGUCACCCAUUUCCAACGUGUGGGAGAAGCGGGCCCAAGGGAUGCCACUGCCGAAGUUCGUGGUAGAGCCCGGUUUGUCUCUCAGGAGUUGACAGAGUUCAGAGUUCUGAGGAUUAUGUUGUUUGUGCAAGACAUCCUGGAAGUUGUUUCAGCCUUGAGCCUUUCAUUCCAAAAAAAUGGGAUGACUUGUGUAGAUUUCUUGGAUGCACUUGAGACCUCAUUGAACUGUCAAUGAGCCCAUGUGAGGAGCUAAAACAGUUCCUAAAUGAAGUGAACACUGAACCAAUUGGAGAAUACAGGGGAUUAAAACUCACAAACUCAGAUAACAGCAUGACAUACAAUGACCCGAGUGAUAUCUGUUAGAAGUUUACAGAUUAAGUCACUGCCAAAUAUGAAGCCAACAACCGGCUGUUGACUAGAGUGCUCACAGCUGCCAGAGUGAUGGACACUCAGGAAUGGCCCUUGGACAGGCAGACACUGGCUGAUUAUGGAAAUGAACAGAUUCACUUCUGAGCUGAAUAUUUUUGUGCAGUGUUGAGGCGGCUCAAAGUCUACGAGCCUGCAACUAUACACCAUCAAUGGAUAAAUAUGAAAGCAAUUCUUGGUGCCAGAAUUCAUCAGAAGGCAAUACCAACAGUUAGUGAAUUGUUUGACACACAUCUACAAGUCCUGUGUCACAUCCUGUGGUUAGUUGAAAUCAUCUUUUGCCCACCUGUUUCCAGCUCAAUCUGUGAGAGGGGUUUUUAGGCCGUUAAAAGGACAAAAAGUGAUUGGCGAGCCACUCUGACCACACAUCAAAUGAACAAUUUGUUGUUUGCCUCAUUAGAGCGACCCCCCCCUUGAAAGAUACAAUGCUGAAUGGGCAGUCGGUUGGACUGAGGUACAACAACAGCGAAGGCCAAAGUUCAGUGUAGUUCCUAACCAAGCCUAAGGUGCUGAAGAGUUUCUGAGUGCUGAGGAAGAUGCGCUGCUAGACUUCCUGAUAAAUAAAAAUAUUAUUUAGUAUUUUAUUCACUUGUCAUUAUUUAGUCAUUUUAUUUGUUAGUCGUUUGUUAUUGUGCCAACCUUUUGCUAUAUUCUUUUAAAAUUCACUAGUCAUUUGUUAAAAGUCACGAUUUAGUAUUUCAUAAUUUUAUUUGUUAGUCAUUUGUUAUUGUGCCAAACUUGUACCAUAUUUAUUAAAAUUUAUAUU